rnacentral:rRNA from 1 species
GACGAACGCUGGCGGCGUUCCUAAUACAUGCAAGUUGAGCGCUGAAGGUUGGUACUUGUACCGACUGGAUGAGCAGCGAACGGGUGAGUAACGCGUGGGGAAUCUGCCUUUGAGCGGGGGACAACAUUUGGAAACGAAUGCUAAUACCGCAUAAAAACUUUAAACACAAGUUUUAAGUUUGAAAGAUGCAAUUGCAUCACUCAAAGAUGAUCCCGCGUUGUAUUAGCUAGUUGGUGAGGUAAAGGCUCACCAAGGCGAUGAUACAUAGCCGACCUGAGAGGGUGAUCGGCCACAUUGGGACUGAGACACGGCCCAAACUCCUACGGGAGGCAGCAGUAGGGAAUCUUCGGCAAUGGACGAAAGUCUGACCGAGCAACGCCGCGUGAGUGAAGAAGGUUUUCGGAUCGUAAAACUCUGUUGGUAGAGAAGAACGUUGGUGAGAGUGGAAAGCUCAUCAAGUGACGGUAACUACCCAGAAAGGGACGGCUAACUACGUG